UACAGAGGGUGCGAGCGUUUAAUCGGAAUUACUGGGCGUAAAGCGUGCGUAGACGGUUAUUUAAGUCGGGUGUGAAAGCCCCGGGCUCAACCUGGGAAUUGCAUUCGAGACUGAAUAGCUAGGGUACGGUAGAGGGAAGUGGAAUUUCCGGUGUAGCGGUGAAAUGCGUAGAUAUCGGAAGGAACAUCAGUGGCGAAAGCGACUUCCUGGCCUGUUCUUGACGCUGAGGCGCGAAAGCUAGGGGAGCAAACGGGG
rnacentral:rRNA from 1 species